GGCAUAGAUGGGGUGAUGGUAAUCGAUAUAUUUCUUAUAUUUAACACCAUCGGGGUAAACUAGAGGAUUCUCUAAUCUCUAAACACCUUCGCCUCUCUUAAUCUGUGCGCCAAUGUCGACUGCAUUUUUCUCGACAAGAUGUUGGCGGAGAAGAGAUUCAGUGUGGCAGCUGUUGCAGGUGGUUCCACAUACAGUGCCUACAAAUGGACACAGCAGAGCUGCAAAAUAAGAAGCAUGUGGACUGGAAUUGCAUUUUGUGUGAAAAGUAAACAAAUUAGAAUUGUGUAGGAUUUUGUGUUUAGUGUUUAUAUUAUCAAGAUGUUAUUAAACAUUUGUGUGAAAUUUU